rnacentral:rRNA from 1 species
UGGGGAAUUGUUCACAAUGGGCGCAAGCCUGAUGACGCAACGCCGCGUGGAGGAUGAAGAUCUUCGGGUCGUAAACUCCUUUCGAUCGAGACGAACGGCUCCCGGGCUAAUCACCGGGAGAGUGACGGUACCGAGAGAAGAAGCCCCGGCUAACUCCGUGCCAGCAGCCGCGGUAAUACGGGGGGGGCAAGCGUUGUUCGGAAUUACUGGGCGUAAAGGGCUCGUAGGCGGCCAACUAAGUCAGACGUGAAAUCCCUCGGCUUAACCGGGGAACUGCGUCUGAUACUGGAUGGCUUGAGGUUGGGAGAGGGAUGCGGAAUUCCAGGUGUAGCGGUGAAAUGCGUAGAUAUCUGGAGGAACACCGGUGGCGAAGGCGGCAUCCUGGACCAAUUCUGACGCUGAGGAGCGAAAGCCAGGGGAGCAAACGGGAUUAGAUACCCCCGUAGUCC